rnacentral:tRNA from 1 species
GCAUUGGUGGUUCAGUGGUAGUUCUCACCUUCCAUGCAGGAGACCCAGGUUUGAUUCCUGGCCAGUGCA